CAGUAGUCACAGAAUACAAAGGUAUCUUAAAAAUGACAGCUCCGGUGCAGCAUUCUGAAGGCCCAGGGCCCCUCCGGCCUCCCAGACCUGCCAUAAGGGGAUGCGCGGGUCUUCCUGCAGUGUUCCAGAGAGGUGGGGGGGGGACACGCUAGUCCUACACAUGGAUUAUGUGCCCUGUAUUCGUUUCCUAGGGUGUCCAUAACAAAUGACCACAAACUGGAUGGCUAAACAAACAGAAACGCACUCUCUCACCGUUCUGGAGGCUGGAAGUCCACAAUCAAGAUGUCAGCAGGGCCAGGUCCUUCCGGCCUGGGUCCCUCCGGCUCUAGGGGAGAACCCUGCCUUGCCUCCUCCAGUUCCUGGCGGCUCCAGGUGUUCCUGGGCUUGUGGCUGCAUCCCUGAAAUCUCUGCCUCUGUCUCCACAGGGCUCCCCCUCUUCUCUCUGUCUCUUGUAAGGACAUUUGUCAUUGGAUUUAGGGACUAGCCUGAUAAUCCAGGAUGAUUUCAUCUCGAGAUCCUUAAUUACAUCCACAAAGACCCUAUUUCCAAAUAAGGUCACAUUCACAGGUUCUGGGUAGACAUAUCUUUUGGAGGACCACCAUUCAACCCGCUACAUGCAAGAUCUGCCUGACACUAGAGACAGCCAGCAUUUGCUGAGUGCCUACUGUGUGCCAAGCACUCAAUGCGCACAUCAGCCCAUGAGGGAGGGACUGCGCUGAUCAUUCUCAGAAGGCGAGGAUACAACUGAAGGAGCUUGCCGAAGGCCCUACCACCUGGUGAGGAAUGAUGGAACCAGGACUCAGACCCAGAGUGACUAUGUCAGGGUUUGGACUUCUGAACCACUCCUCCCUGCUUCCUGCCACAAAGCCUGGGCCCUUAUCCCUGGGCCCUGCUGGGCAGGCCGGCUGCCCAGGGCACCAGUCUGCCCCAUCCCUGAGGAAGCAGGAAUGAGUCAGAAAGUGGGUGGGACUGUUAAAUCCCUCUCCUUAGUUGGCCCUGGCUCCCACAGCAGGAGCUUUGCCAUUGGUAAAAUACUCAAGUCCGUCCAGACAGUGUAGCUCCUGACCCCACCUAGUUGUGGGCCUGGGAAGGGCAGCUGCUUGUGCUGGUAGGUCUGUCUGCCAGAGGAGCCUCCCCAGCCUAGAGGGAGCAGGCCCUGAGGAGCGUCUCAGAGGGAAGGUGGCGUGCUGGGAGCUUGUCUCCCGGGAGCACACCUGGCAGACCCCUCUCCCACGGCCGCUCAGGCAUGAGCAUGUCGUGCUGUUUCCAAACAGAUCAUCAGCCCAGUUCCCAAGGCAGUGCUGUCACGUGGGUGUGAUCACCCCCCUAUUUGCAGUCAGGGUUUUCAUUGCUGGCCUCCACACUCUGCAGAAUGGAUUUCACCUGUUGGAUGAGCCCCACCCAUCUCACUUCACUUCAUCUCACCUCACAGGUCACCCUGGAGCUUUAAUCCAGUGGUUCUCAAAGUGUGGGCCCUGGGCCAGCAGCAUCAGCAGCAUCAGGAAACCUGCACCCCAGACCUACCGAAUCAGAUACUCUGGGGGUGGGCCCAGCAGUCCGGGUGAUUCUGAUGUCCUUCUAACGUGGGGCUCUGCCUGGUUCACAGUAACCGCUCUGAGCCAGCGGUUCUCAAACUCAGCUGCACACUGGAAUCACCUGAGGGCUCUAAAAAUACGGAUGCUCAGGCCACACCCAGACCAACUGAAUCAGACUCUCGGGGGAUGGACAUCAGCAGCUUCUACAGCUCCUGGGUGAUGCCUGUGUGCAGCCAGGACCGACGCCCAUGCUCUAGGCCUCACUGUUACUUCUGUAAGAUGAUAACAGCUGAGCUACCCCAAGGCAUCUUAUCAGAAUCAUUUCCCUUCUGUGACCAUGAGCUUGAACCCUGGAUAAAGGGGAGAGGGUUGGUUCUCAAGCUCGGACAGCAUAAACAAAUUUGAUUAUAACAACGGCAAGAGAUAUGUGCAUUAAAGAAAAGGGAGCUCCUUCGUGCCUCCUCCUCUAUUUGGGUGAAAGGGCAUAACCUGCCACUUUCCACUCCGGCUUUCUCUUUGGUGGGGGUGGCGGUGGGGAACUCCACCUCAGGAUGGGGUCUGAUUUGCAGCCGGUCAGUCGGGGCUGACCCCCCGGGUCUGAGGCCUUGUCUGCCCCCGCCCUGGCUUGCCCACGCCUCUCUGUUUCUCUGGCAGCUCUGUGUGGUUUCUGUAUUGCUUCUGGAGACCACCCUGUUCAUGGCUCUGUUCUGCAGGACGGGGACUGGCAGGGAAGGGGGCUGCCUGACCGCUACUCACGGAAGUGCCUUGACGUCCAUGUGUCUCAGCUCAUCCCCACGUGACCCCACAAAGUUCUCCACGCUGACUUUCUGAAAAAAGAGAAUGCUAUUUCUCACCACACGUUGGCGUUCCAGACAUCAAAUGCGUGGUCCAACAAGGACAGGUGUGUUAUCUGUGGCUGGUGCUCAGCCGGGCGCUGCAGUCCGGGGACAGCCUGCACCUGCAGCUCGGCACAGGCAAAGCCUGGGGCCCUGCCCACCGGGCUUGGGGCGGGACUAUGUGGGUUGUGAGCCUGAGGGGGCCCUUCUGGAGCAGUCCAAGCCAGGAGUGCCUUAGCCUCCCGGAUCCUCAGUUUCCCUAUCUGUAAUGUGGGGAUAAUAUGGGGUGCAGUGAGGAUGGAAUGGGAGGCUGACUUGGGGCCUGGCUGGUGGUGAGUUCUCCAACCUCCGACGCUCCAGUUCCUUGGCCAGGAGCGGGGCAGUGUCGGGGGUAGCUGGGGAGUCGGCAGAGCAGAGAGAGCAGAGACUCAGCAGGGCAACUGCUUUAGAGGGGUCUGGGACAUUUCUAGAGAUGAAUCAUAGGGCUGAGGUUUGCUGACACCAUAGCUGUGUGGGCUGGAGGCAAGCCAGUAAUAGUGAUUGUAAGCACCACACUUUGGAUGCAAAGAUAAUAGGAAAUGGCUCACCCGCUGGUGAUGGGUAAAGCUGUGCGCACAAGCACAAUCGGGGGAACUGACAGGAAAUCUGUGAGAUCUGUGACAGGGAGUGAGAUGAUGGGGGCUGAGUGUCUUGCUUGUUUAAUGUAGUUUGUAAGCUUUAAAAAUAGGUCAAAGCAAUCAACUUUACAGGAGGACAUACGCUACCGCUUCCCAAGGGAGAGCACCUCGCCCUCCUUCUCCGAGGGAGGAACAGGCGUAGGACCUCCUCGACUGUGCUGGUGGAGAUUACGAUGGGAACACUGCCUUCAGCCAAGAUGAAAUAAGCACCUACUCUGUGCUGUGCUGCGGGCCACCUGCUCUACCCGGUGGACUAGGACCUCACUGUCCCCAACUUCAGUGACUGUAUCGUGCCCCUGGGUACAUGCGCAUUCCUCUCACAAACAUUUGCUGAGCAUCUACGUAUAUGACCCUACUUCACUCAGCAAAUAUUCGUAGAGUACCUAUUAUGUGCCAGGAACCAUCCCAGGCUCUGGGAAUCCAGCGGAAAGCAGUCCCUGGCCUCCUAGAGCUGCUCGUUCUAGUAGAGGGAGAAAAACAGUGAGCCAACAAGAGGAGGAGAUGAUAGGCAGGGGCACCAGCACUGAAGGAAGCAAAACAAGAGAGCCCUCCGGCCAGGCAGACAACAGCGUUUGGAGGGGCCGGUGCCCCUGGGGUCAGCAGGGCUGCCCUGGGAGGAGGCCUCCCCGCUGAGACCCAUACCCCAUGCAGGAACCACCAGGUGAGGACCUGAGAGCAGGGGGCCAGGGGCACAGCAAGUGCAAGGGUCCCCAAAUAGGCAACAUCCGCCACCGGUAUUGUCACCAACCGGCUCUCUGGGGAUCAGAGACUGGUCACUGCAGGGAGGUGGGAGGAGGGUGGGCAGGCUGGAGAAGCUGUGAGGAGGGCCAUGUGCAGGCCACGGAAAGGGGCUGGAUUUGGUUCCAGGAGCAAUGGGAGUCCCCGGAGGUCCUGACACAACCUGGUCGACGUUUGUGAAGAAGGUCCUCUGACGGCCGGCGAGGUUGGCGGUGGAGUCCGCCUCUUCCCGUGAGAGAAGCCAAGGUGGAGCCGGCUGCCCUGCAGUAAGCGAGCUUCUCGGUCCCAGGCAGAGCCCAGCGAGGGCUGAGCAGCAGUGACACACAGCAGAUGGGGGCGGGGACGGGGCAGAGGCACCCGCGGAGCGUUCACACGCGGAGGCAAGACGGAGGCCUGGGCUCCCCGGGGUGAUGCGGCAGGCCUGGAGAGCAGGAGGCGGGAGCGUCCUCCCCGCUGGACCUGCAGAGGGCACAGGGAGGCCUGGG
rnacentral:lncRNA from 1 species